AGUGAACGCUGGCGGUAGGCCUAACACAUGCAAGUCGAACGGCAGCACAGUAAGAGCUUGCUCUUACGGGUGGCGAGUGGCGGACGGGUGAGGAAUACAUCGGAAUCUACUUUUUCGUGGGGGAUAACGUAGGGAAACUUACGCUAAUACCGCAUACGACCUACGGGUGAAAGCAGGGGAUCUUCGGACCUUGCGCGAUUGAAUGAGCCGAUGUCGGAUUAGCUAGUUGGCGGGGUAAAGGCCCACCAAGGCGACGAUCCGUAGCUGGUCUGAGAGGAUGAUCAGCCACCCGGGAACUGGGACACGGUCCAGACUCCUACGGGAGGCAGCAGUGGGGAAUAUUGGACAAUGGGCGCAAGCCUGAUCCAGCCAUACCGCGUGGGUGAAGAAGGCCUUCGGGUUGUAAAGCCCUUUUGUUGGGAAAGAAAAGCAGCAGGUUAAUACCCCGCUGUUCUGACGGUACCCAAAGAAUAAGCACCGGCUAACUUCGUG
rnacentral:rRNA from 1 species